UCAGACGCAAAUUAACGCCGCCAGAUAAUUUUACUGACUUUCCAGUUUUUCAGGGUAUCGUCCGAAGGCAUUAACCCUUCAGGACCACUCCAUUCCCCGCUGAACUGGUAGCUAAUAUGUUGACUGCUGGAGGAAUACCGGUGGCGAAGGCGGCCCCCUGGACGAAGACUGACGCUCAGGUGCGAAAGCGUGGGGAGCAAACAGGAUUAGAUACCCUGGUAGUCCACGCCGUAAACGAUGUCGACUUGGAGGUUGUGCCCUUGAGGCGUGGCUUCCGGAGCUAACGCGUUAAGUCGACCGCCUGGGGAGUACGGCCGCAAGGUUAAAACUCAAAUGAAUUGACGGGGGCCCGCACAAGCGGUGGAGCAUGUGGUUUAAUUCGAUGCAACGCGAAGAACCUUACCUGGUCUUGACAUCCACAGAACUUUCCAGAGAUGGAUUGGUGCCUUCGGGAACUGUGAGACAGGUGCUGCAUGGCUGUCGUCAGCUCGUGUUGUGAAAUGUUGGGUUAAGUCCCGCAACGAGCGCAACCCUUAUCCUUUGUUGCCAGCGGUCCGGCCGGGAACUCAAAGGAGACUGCCAGUGAUAAACUGGAGGAAGGUGGGGAUGACGUCAAGUCAUCAUGGCCCUUACGACCAGGGCUACACACGUGCUACAAUGGCGCAUACAAAGAGAAGCGACCUCGCGAGAGUAAGCGGACCUCAUAAAGUGCGUCGUAGUCCGGAUUGGAGUCUGCAACUCGACUCCAUGAAGUCGGAAUCGCUAGUAAUCGUGGAUCAGAAUGCCACGGUGAAUACGUUCCCGGGCCUUGUACACACCGCCCGUCACACCAUGGGAGUGGGUUGCAAAAGAAGUAGGUAGCUUAACCUUCGGGAGGGCGCUUACCACUUUGUGAUUCAUGACUGGGGUGAAGUCGUAACAAGGUAACCGUAGGGGAACCUGCGGUUG
rnacentral:rRNA from 1 species